GGUUAAGCGACUAAGCGUACACGGUGGAUGCCCUGGCAGUCAGAGGCGAUGAAGGACGUGCUAAUCUGCGAUAAGCGUCGGUAAGGUGAUAUGAACCGUUAUAACCGGCGAUUUCCGAAUGGGGAAACCCAGUGUGUUUCGACACACUAUCAUUAACUGAAUCCAUAGGUUAAUGAGGCGAACCGGGGGAACUGAAACAUCUAAGUACCCCGAGGAAAAGAAAUCAACCGAGAUUCCCCCAGUAGCGGCGAGCGAACGGGGAGCAGCCCAGAGCCUGAAUCAGUGUGUGUGUUAGUGGAAGCGUCUGGAAAGGCGUGCGAUACAGGGUGACAGCCCCGUACACAAAAAUGCACAUACUGUGAGCUCGAUGAGUAGGGCGGGACACGUGGUAUCCUGUCUGAAUAUGGGGGGACCAUCCUCCAAGGCUAAAUACUCCUGACUGACCGAUAGUGAACCAGUACCGUGAGGGAAAGGCGAAAAGAACCCCGGCGAGGGGAGUGAAAAAGAACCUGAAACCGUGUACGUACAAGCAGUGGGAGCACGCUUAGGCGUGUGACUGCGUACCUUUUGUAUAAUGGGUCAGCGACUUAUAUUCUGUAGCAAGGUUAACCGAAUAGGGGAGCCGAAGGGAAACCGAGUCUUAACUGGGCGUUAAGUUGCAGGGUAUAGACCCGAAACCCGGUGAUCUAGCCAUGGGCAGGUUGAAGGUUGGGUAACACUAACUGGAGGACCGAACCGACUAAUGUUGAAAAAUUAGCGGAUGACUUGUGGCUGGGGGUGAAAGGCCAAUCAAACCGGGAGAUAGCUGGUUCUCCCCGAAAGCUAUUUAGGUAGCGCCUCGUGAAUUCAUCUCCGGGGGUAGAGCACUGUUUCGGCAAGGGGGUCAUCCCGACUUACCAACCCGAUGCAAACUGCGAAUACCGGAGAAUGUUAUCACGGGAGACACACGGCGGGUGCUAACGUCCGUCGUGAAGAGGGAAACAACCCAGACCGCCAGCUAAGGUCCCAAAGUCAUGGUUAAGUGGGAAACGAUGUGGGAAGGCCCAGACAGCCAGGAUGUUGGCUUAGAAGCAGCCAUCAUUUAAAGAAAGCGUAAUAGCUCACUGGUCGAGUCGGCCUGCGCGGAAGAUGUAACGGGGCUAAACCAUGCACCGAAGCUGCGGCAGCGACGCUUAUGCGUUGUUGGGUAGGGGAGCGUUCUGUAAGCCUGCGAAGGUGUGCUGUGAGGCAUGCUGGAGGUAUCAGAAGUGCGAAUGCUGACAUAAGUAACGAUAAAGCGGGUGAAAAGCCCGCUCGCCGGAAGACCAAGGGUUCCUGUCCAACGUUAAUCGGGGCAGGGUGAGUCGACCCCUAAGGCGAGGCCGAAAGGCGUAGUCGAUGGGAAACAGGUUAAUAUUCCUGUACUUGGUGUUACUGCGAAGGGGGGACGGAGAAGGCUAUGUUGGCCGGGCGACGGUUGUCCCGGUUUAAGCGUGUAGGCUGGUUUUCCAGGCAAAUCCGGAAAAUCAAGGCUGAGGCGUGAUGACGAGGCACUACGGUGCUGAAGCAACAAAUGCCCUGCUUCCAGGAAAAGCCUCUAAGCAUCAGGUAACAUCAAAUCGUACCCCAAACCGACACAGGUGGUCAGGUAGAGAAUACCAAGGCGCUUGAGAGAACUCGGGUGAAGGAACUAGGCAAAAUGGUGCCGUAACUUCGGGAGAAGGCACGCUGAUAUGUAGGUGAAGUCCCUCGCGGAUGGAGCUGAAAUCAGUCGAAGAUACCAGCUGGCUGCAACUGUUUAUUAAAAACACAGCACUGUGCAAACACGAAAGUGGACGUAUACGGUGUGACGCCUGCCCGGUGCCGGAAGGUUAAUUGAUGGGGUCAGCGCAAGCGAAGCUCUUGAUCGAAGCCCCGGUAAACGGCGGCCGUAACUAUAACGGUCCUAAGGUAGCGAAAUUCCUUGUCGGGUAAGUUCCGACCUGCACGAAUGGCGUAAUGAUGGCCAGGCUGUCUCCACCCGAGACUCAGUGAAAUUGAACUCGCUGUGAAGAUGCAGUGUACCCGCGGCAAGACGGAAAGACCCCGUGAACCUUUACUAUAGCUUGACACUGAACAUUGAGCCUUGAUGUGUAGGAUAGGUGGGAGGCUUGGAAGUGUGGACGCCAGUCUGCAUGGAGCCGACCUUGAAAUACCACCCUUUAAUGUUUGAUGUUCUAACGUUGACCCGUAAUCCGGGUUGCGGACAGUGUCUGGUGGGUAGUUUGACUGGGGCGGUCUCCUCCUAAAGAGUAACGGAGGAGCACGAAGGUUGGCUAAUCCUGGUCGGACAUCAGGAGGUUAGUGCAAUGGCAUAAGCCAGCUUGACUGCGAGCGUGACGGCGCGAGCAGGUGCGAAAGCAGGUCAUAGUGAUCCGGUGGUUCUGAAUGGAAGGGCCAUCGCUCAACGGAUAAAAGGUACUCCGGGGAUAACAGGCUGAUACCGCCCAAGAGUUCAUAUCGACGGCGGUGUUUGGCACCUCGAUGUCGGCUCAUCACAUCCUGGGGCUGAAGUAGGUCCCAAGGGUAUGGCUGUUCGCCAUUUAAAGUGGUACGCGAGCUGGGUUUAGAACGUCGUGAGACAGUUCGGUCCCUAUCUGCCGUGGGCGCUGGAGAACUGAGGGGGGCUGCUCCUAGUACGAGAGGACCGGAGUGGACGCAUCACUGGUGUUCGGGUUGUCAUGCCAAUGGCACUGCCCGGUAGCUAAAUGCGGAAGAGAUAAGUGCUGAAAGCAUCUAAGCACGAAACUUGCCCCGAGAUGAGUUCUCCCUGACUCCUUGAGAGUCCUGAAGGAACGUUGAAGACGACGACGUUGAUAGGCCGGGUGUGUAAGCGCAGCGAUGCGUUGAGCUAACCGGUACUAAUGAACCGUGAGGCUUAACCUU
rnacentral:rRNA from 1 species